GACGGAAGGUGCAAGCGUUGCUCGGAAUCACUGGGCGUAAAGGGUGCGUAGGCGGCCGCGCAAGUCUGGCGUGAAAGCCCCGGGCUCAGCCCGGGAAGGGCGCUCGAAACGGCGCGGCUCGAGUGCCGGAGGGGAGAGUGGAAUUCCUGGUGUAGCGGUGAAAUGCGUAGAUAUCAGGAGGAAUACCGAUGGCGAAGGCGGCAUCCUGGACCGGCAUGACGCUGAGGCGCGAAAGCUAGGGGAGCAAACGGG
rnacentral:rRNA from 1 species